AGUGGAAUAGCUGGAUCAUGUGGUAAUUUAACUUUUUUAAGGAACUAUCAGUUUGUUUCCUGAAGUGACUGUACCAUAUCAUAUUUCUCCAGCAAU
rnacentral:pre_miRNA from 1 species